rnacentral:rRNA from 1 species
CACGUAGGCACCAAGCGUUGUCCGGAUUUAUUGGGCGUAAAGAGCACGUAGGUGGUCUAGUAAGUCAGGUGUGAAAUCCCAGGGCUCAACCCUGGAAGUGCACUUGAAACUGCAUGACUUGAGUACGGAAGAGGUGAGUGGAAUUCCUGGUGUAGUGGUGAAAUACGUAGAUAUCAGGAGGAACAUCGGUGGCGAAGGCGGCUCACUGGUCCUGUACUGACACUGAGGUGCGAAAUCAUGGGGAUCAAUCAGG